UGGGGAAUAUUGGACAAUGGGCGCAAGCCUGAUCCAGCCAUGCCGCGUGUGUGAAGAAGGCCUUCGGGUUGUAAAGCACUUUCAGCGAGGAGGAAGGGUGGUGUGUUAAUAGCACAUCAUUUUGACGUUACUCGCAGAAGAAGCACCGGCUAACUCUGUGCCAGCAGCCGCGGUAAUAUAGAGGGUGCAAGCGUUAAUCGGAAUUACUGGGCGUAAAGCGCACGUAGGCGGUUUUCUAAGUCAGAUGUGAAAGCCCCGGGCUCAACCUGGGAAUUGCAUUUGAAACUGGGAAACUAGAGUGUGUGAGAGGGGGGUAGAAUUCCAAGUGUAGCGGUGAAAUGCGUAGAGAUUUGGAGGAAUACCAGUGGCGUAGGCGGCCCCCUGGCACAACACUGACGCUCAGGUGCGAAAGCGUGGGGAGCAAACAGGAUUAGAUGACCCNGUAGUCCACGCCGUAAACGAUGUCUACUAGCCUGUUCGUGACCUUGUGUUGUGAGUAGCGCAGCUAACGCACUAAGUAGACCGCCUGGGGAGUACGGUCGCAAGAUUAAAAGCUUAAA
rnacentral:rRNA from 1 species